rnacentral:rRNA from 1 species
CUGGCGGCGUGCCUAACACAUGCAAGUCGAGCGAGGAGAUUCCUCGGGAUGAUCCUAGCGGCGGACGGGUGAGUAACACGUGGGCAACCUGCCUCAUAGAGAGGAAUAGCCUUCCGAAAGGGAGAUUAAUACCUCAUAACAUUGCAGUUUCGCAUGAAACAGCAAUUAAAGGAGCAAUCCGCUAUGAGAUGGGCCCGCGGCGCAUUAGCUAGUUGGUGAGGUAACGGCUCACCAAGGCGACGAUGCGUAGCCGACCUGAGAGGGUGAUCGGCCACAUUGGGACUGAGGCACGGCCCAGACUCCUACGGGAGGCAGCAGUGGGGAAUAUUGCACAAUGGGGGAAACCCUGAUGCAGCAACGCCGCGUGAGUGAUGACGGCCUUCGGGUUGUAAAGCUCUGUCUUCAGGGACGAUAAUGACGGUACCUGAGGAGGAAGCCACGGCUAACUACGUGCCAGCCGCCGC